AGAAUUAUAGUCUAUUCUUAAAGUGAUGCAUAGGUGUUUGUUUCUCCAGUCAUCUAAAUUUUAGCAUUUAUUUAGCUGCCACCAAACCCACUGAUAAUAGGUAGUUCUUUACAGGAUUUUGCAAUAUAUUCAAGAGGAAUACACAAAUGUGUCGAACCACAAGGCUGCGGUAUCGGUGUUAGAGCAGCAGCGGAUUGGUCCUGUGGUUGACAAGACAGACUACGCUUCCCUCGUCUCCAACACAGACAAAUCCGUUGAAAUUCGCAGGCUACCCACGCCUCUGCCGUGGUAAGACAGCUGAGGUGACGUGUGAACGACUUGCUGAAGGUGUGAACGACUUGCUGGCCGCUGCGUCUACUGGGCUACGCGAGCUCCACCCCAGCGCUUCCACUGCCGUCCUCGUCAACACCCGAGCCUUGUUCCUGCACCACGCGCAGCAGGUCGCUGUUUUCACUCUUGCGUUUUUCAUGCUCUCAUGUCAUCACCUGAAAUAUUUUCGAGAUCACGUGUGAUUUGGAAUAUGUGCUUCUCCACUAAUAAUGAUUGGUUUUCUAUUGCUUUUGUGUGACUGAUAAUUUUUAACUAGCUAGUGCAUUGGCUCUCUCAACUUUAGAAAAUAGAUGCGCCCUCUCAGGUAAGCGUCUAACAACUUUAUUGUGCUUUUGAAUUUAGUUUGAGCUCGCCGCGUUGCCAAAUAUCUUUUUUAUUUUUUAUGGCACUCAUUAACAUGUAUUAUUGUGUUCUAAAACAAACAUCAUGGCAACCUGUUGCUCUCGAUCAAGUUGUCUUCAGGUAAACGUUUGAUUUUUUUUUUGCUCUUGACUUGCAGUUGGAGUGCUUAGAGGAUUUUUCCUCGUACAUCGCGUGGUUGAAAGCCGAACUUGGAUCCCUGCAGCCCGCUCUACAGGAGAAAAAUAAAGACGUUCAAGUG